GUGCAGGGAGAUGUCUCAGAAAAAGUGUUUCUUUAGCCCUCUCCCUGACUUGCAUCCUCAUGAGACUCUUAAACCCCCUCCUGACCUUCAGAGAUGUUUAUCAUCAGAGAUGGGUUAUGGAAGUGAUCCUAUAGAACCUGAGAGAUUGCUUAACUCAAACUCUGCUUCUACAUUAGAGUGUCUUCUGAAAAAUGACCUCAACAAAAUUUGCUAUCUACCUAUUUACUAACAUAAAUGAGGAAACCAAAAAGGUCAACGGUGAGGCAGGAAGGUUUCAGUUCAGUGGAGAAAAGAAAAUCUUGAUGAAAUGUCAUUAACUUCCAUAUUUGGAAUAAGCUAUAAAAGGACUACGUGUCUUUCCCCAGGACUAUAUGCCGUUCCCUUUCCAGGACUAUGUGUCUUUCCGCAGGACUAUAUGCCAUUCCCCAAGUGCCAUUCGGAAAUUAUUCAUAAAAUUUAUGUAGAAACGAAAGGUUCAAAAAUAGCAAAGACACUUGAAGAACCAGGUAGGAAGGACUUGUUCUACCAGCUAUUGAUUUAUUAUAUUAUUACUCCAAUUAAGACACCGAGAUUGUCAUCAAUAUUGAAAAAUAGAUCAGAAGCAACAAAUUAAAAAUCCAGAAACCAGUCAUUUUUCCAUACUAAUUUGGUCUCAAUGAGAACAACAUAAUUCUCAUUCAUCUCCCUGUAGAAGUUAUAUAUUUCCAAAGUGGUUCAAAUGUACUGAAAGCCAACU
ensembl:lncRNA novel transcript